rnacentral:rRNA from 1 species
AUCAAGCAAUCUCGGGCUUGAUUAGUACUUGCAUGGGUGACCGCUUGGGAAUACCAAGUGUGAUAAGCA